AUCAAUGGCACAAUGGCUCAGUGCAUCUGGCUGUUAACCAGCAGGUUGGUGGUUCGUGCCCACCCAGAGAUG